rnacentral:misc_RNA from 1 species
GAUGAAGAACGCAGCGAAAUGCGAUAAGUAAUGUGAAUUGCAGAAUUCAGUGAAUCAUCGAAUCUUUGAACGCACCUUGCGCCUUUGGUAUUCCGAAAGGCACACCUGUUUGAGCGUCAUGAAUACCUCAAUCUCCAUCUUUUCUUCGGAUUGAUGGGUGACUUGGAUGUUGAGCCCUGCUGGUAUGCUAUAUCAGCUGGCUUUAAACUUAUUAGCCGGCUCUGUACUGGAUCGGUUUGACUCGACGUGAUAAUAUUAUCGUUGAGGAUGCAUGUCUCAUGCAGCCGGAAAGUAUCAAAGCAGCUUCUAGCUUGCCUUUAGUGCACUUUUACAUUUUAGACCGCAGAUCAGGUGGGACUACCCGCUGAACUUAAGCAUAUCAAUAAGCGGAGGA